rfam:Auxenochlorella protothecoides strain 0710 contig1223, whole genome shotgun sequence.
AGCGGGGAAGAGCAAAUGGUUAGCUCGUCAGGCUCAUAAUCUGAAGGUUGUAGGUUCAAGUCCUACCCCCGCUC